AGUGGAUGGGGAGCAACCUAGUUGUGCGUGUGUAAAGGCAGUGCCAAGAAAAGCGAUGAUCAUGUUGAAAAUCAAUUCCCGGUACCCGAAACCGACACAGGUGGGCAAGUAGAGAAUACUAAGGGGCGCGAGGUAACUCUCUCCAAGGAACUCGGCAAAAUGACCCCGUAACUUAGGGAGAAGGGGUGCCACCGAGAGGUGGUCGCAGUGAAGAGGCCCAGGCGACUGUUUAGCAAAAACAUAGGUCUCUGCAAACUCGAAAGAGGAGGUAUAGGGGCUGACGCCUGCCCAGUGCCGGAAGGUUAAAGAAGUUUGUCAGUCUUAGGAUGAAGCUAGCGACUGAAGCCCCGGUGAACGGCGGCCGUAACUAUAACGGUCCUAAGGUAGCGAAAUUCCUUGUCGGGUAAGUUCCGACCCGCACGAAAGGCGUAACGAUCUGGGCACUGUCUCGGAGAGAGGCUCGGCGAAAUAGGAUUGUCUGUGAAGAUACGGACUACCUGCAUUUGGACAGAAAGACCCUAUGAAGCUUUACUAUAGCUUGGAAUUGUGUUCGGGCUUCCUGUGCGCAGGAUAGGUGGGAGGCGUAGAAGGUAUUCUUGUGGGGAUACUGGAGCCAACGGUGAGAUACCACUCUCAGGAGGCUAGAAUUCUAACUUAAUUAAGGACAGUUUCAGGUGGGUAGUUUGACUGGGGCGGUCGCCUCCAAAAAGGUAACGGAGGCGUACAAAGGUUCCCUCAGACUGGUUGGAAAUCAGUCGAAGAGUGCAAAGGCAGAAGGGAGCUUGACUGCGAGAAGUACAGUUCGAGCAGGGUGGAAACACGGUCUUAGUGAUCCGACGGUGCUGUGUGGAAGGGCCGUCGCUCAACGGAUAAAAGUUACUCUAGGAUAACAGGCUGAUCUCCCCCAAGAGUUCACAUCGACGGGGAGGUUUGGCACCUCGAUGUCGGCUCAUCGCAACCUGGGGCGGAAGUACGUCCCAAGGGUUGGGCUGUUCGCCCAUUAAAGCGGUACGUGAGCUGGGUUCAGAACGUCGUGAGACAGUUCGGUCCAUAUCCGAUGUAGGCGUGAGAAUAUUGAGAGGAGCCUUCCUUAGUACGAGAGGACCGGGAAGGACGCACCGCUGGUGUACCUGUUAUGAUGCCAAUUGUAAACGCAGGGUAGCCAAGUGCGGAGAGGAUAACCGCUGAAAGCAUCUAAGUGGGAAGCCCACCUCAAGAUGAGUAUUCUGGUGUAAGGUCACGGGAAGACGACCCGUAAAUAGGCACGAGGUGGAAGUGCAGAGAUGUAUGAAGCCGAAGUGUACUAAUAGACCGUCGGCUUGACCAU
rnacentral:rRNA from 1 species